rnacentral:lncRNA from 1 species
ACAGCCCCCAACCGAUGGGAGUUGUUACGUCCACUAUGUCCCCCCUCGAUUCCCAACAUGCUAUGAUACCCUGGGGUGGGUAGGAGCGGGUCGAGUCCGUAUUACCGAAGCAAUAUUCUAUGCUACUUUUCAAAGUCUGGAUCAACCUAUCGGGAAGGUAGCUGUUCUCGACCGACCCUUGACCUAACCCUCGGAAGCAGAGCCACAUCACAGAGCUAGGUACUAUGCUCAUCUAUUCUAUAGUCAAAGCAGGAGCCUAUCCUUAGCAACGUGCCCCAGUUGUCAUCUUUGUGUUUGUGUGUGUCUGAAUGUCUGAGUGGGACCUUUCCUCGUGAAUUGCCUUCUUCGAGGCAUGAUCAGGAGCGAGAUUUCACUCUUCAAUGGUACGAUACCAGCACG